AACGAACGCUGGCGGCAGGCCUAACACAUGCGAGUCGAACGAACUCUUCGGAGUUAGUGGCGGUCCGGUGAGUAAGACGUGGUCACGUGCCCUUUGGUUCGCAGUCACUGAGGGAAACUUGUGCUCAUGCCGCUUGUGCUCUUCGCGGGUAGGAUCUAUCGCCAUUAGAGCGGCCUGCGUCUGAUUCGCUGGUUGGUGAGGUACCGGCUCACCAAGGCGACGAUCAGUAGCUGGUCUGAGAGCAUGACCAUCCCGACUUGGAAUGAGACACGGCCCAGACCCCGACGGAGGGCAGCAGUGGGGAACCUUGCGCACGGAGCGAAAGCCUGGCGCAGCCGUGCCGGGUGAAUGAUGAAGGGCUUAGUAUUGCAAAAUUCUUUCACCGGGGACGUUAAUGACGGUACCCGGAGAAGAAGCCCCGGCUAACUUCGU
rnacentral:rRNA from 1 species